UACAGAGGGUGCUAGCGUUGUUCGGAAUCAUUGGGCGUAAAGGGCGUGUAGGCGGUUUGUUAAGUCAUGUGUGAAAUCCCUCGGCUCAACCGGGGAACGACGCAUGAAACUGGCAAGCUAGAGUACCAAAGAGGGGGGUGGAAUUCCCGGUGUAGCGGUGAAAUGCGUAGAUAUCUGGAGGAACACCGGUGGCGAAGGCGCCCACCUGGCCUGCUACUGACGCUGAAGCUCGAAAGCUAGGGGAGCAAACGGG
rnacentral:rRNA from 1 species